UACGUAGGGUGCGAGCGUUAAUCGGAAUUACUGGGCGUAAAGCGUGCGCAGGCGGUUCGUUAAGUCAGAUGUGAAAGCCCCGGGCUCAACCUGGGAACUGCAUUUGAAACUGGCGGGCUUGAGUAUGGCAGAGGGGGGUGGAAUUCCGCGUGUAGCAGUGAAAUGCGUAGAGAUGCGGAGGAACACCGAUGGCGAAGGCAGCCCCCUGGGCCAAUACUGACGCUCAGGCACGAAAGCGUGGGGAGCGAACGGG
rnacentral:rRNA from 1 species